GGGACAGUGGCGCAACGGAUAACGCGCCUGACUACGGAUCAGGAGAUUCCCUGUUGGCCCGAAUCAUGGCUGGCUCG